CCUACGGGUGGCUGCAGUGAGGAAUAUUGGACAAUGGAGGAAACUCUGAUCCAGCCAUGCCGCGUGAGUGAAGAAGGCCUUCGGGUUGUAAAGCUCUUUCAGAUGUGACGAUGAUGACGGUAGCAUCAGAAGAAGCCCCGGCUAAAUUCGUGCCAGCAGCCGCGGUAAUACGAAUGGGGCAAGCGUUGUUCGGAAUCACUGGGCUUAAAGCGUACGCAGGCGGCCAUGCAAGUCAGGAGUGAAAUCCCCGGGCUUAACCCGGGAAUUGCUUUUGAAACUGCACGGCUAGAAUCCGGAAGAGGUUGGCGGAAUUCCGAGUGUAGAGGUGAAAUUCGCAGAUAUUCGGAGGAACACCAGUGGCGAAGGCGGCCAACUGGACCGGUAUUGACGCUGAGGUACGAAAGCGUGGGGAGCAAACAGGAUUAGAUACCCGUGUAGUC
rnacentral:rRNA from 1 species